UACGUAGGUGGCAAGCGUUACUCGGAAUCACUAGGUGUAAAGCGCAGGUAGGAGGUUGGAUAAGUCUGUUGUGAAAGCUCCCGGCUUAACUGGGAGAGGCCAACGGAAACUAUUCGGCUGGAGUGCGGUAGAGGUAGCUGGAAUUCCCGGUGUAGCGGUGAAAUGCGUAGAUAUCGGGAGGAAUACCUAUGGCGAAAGCAGGCUACUGGACCGUCACUGACUCUGAGGCGCGAAAGCGUGGGUAGCAAACAGG
rnacentral:rRNA from 1 species